UCAUGACCUGAAAGCCAAAGUCGGACGCUUAACUGACAGAGCUAUACAAGCAUCCAUUGGAUUCGUUUAACUAGUCUGCUCUGUUUAUUCCCUUGACCUUGCUCUUGGCCCUGCUAAGGAGUCUACAGGUUUGAACCAGUGUUUCUUCUUUUCUCCUCUAUUUUUAAAGCUCUUCCCAGGCACCAACUUCCUAGCACCUGAAUGUGAGUUCUACCCAUAUUCCUCACAGGGAGGGUACUGAAGGCUUCCUCUUUGCCUCUCAUUGGCCUUCUCAUCUAACGCUCACUGGGCGCUGAGGGCCCUCGGGGCAACAGAGCACACCUGUUCCUUCUGAUGAUUAAAAACAGACCCAGAGGCCCUUCCGUUUGAACCUCUCCUUGCUGGUAAUUUUUGUCUUCUGGGGAACAGGCGUGCCUAGGUGGAACCCGGAUUUAAAGAGUAGAGUUUAAUGAUAAACACCUCUUGCCGAGUUGUGCCCUGGGGGAACAGGUACGAAAUUGGGUAUUUUCUUCAUCUUCUAUUUAUUUUUAAUCUACGUUUGAUUUAUUUUUUUUAAAUCUGUGUUUUACUAUCGACCCAAUUUGCGUCUGAUUGCUAACUUGUGAACCCACUGGAACUGCUAGCUUUGGGGGGAGUGGAGAUUGGGGAGGAGCAAACUCACCUGCACAGGUCUCCUCGCAGCCUGCCCCAGAUGCACAGACGCUUUAACUGAAGAGCAUUACGGCCUAGCGAGCGUCCCCCGUGGCGCGGGAGGAUUGGGGGAGACAGUAUUCUGUUCUCAUGCAUGGGUUGAGGCUUCCCCAUCUGCUUCUUUUGAACAAGUGUUUUUUUUCCCCCCGAGUGUGGUGGCCAGUCCCUGGAAGUGAUCAGGUUAACAUGCCCACUCAGCUGGAGAUUGCCAUGAACAUCAUGAUUAGAAUCUUCCACCAGUACUCCUGCAAGGAAGGGGACAGAUUCAAGCUCAACAAGGGGGAACUGAAAAUGCUCCUGCAGCAAGAGCUCACGGAAUUCCUCUCGUGCCAGAAGGAUCCCCAGUUGGUUGAUAAGAUAAUGCAGGACCUGGAUGCCAAUAAGGACAACGAAGUGGAUUUUAAUGAAUUCGUGGUCAUGGUGGCAGCUCUGACAGUUGCUUGUAACGAUUACUUUGUGGAACAACUGAAGAAGAAAGGAAAGUAAAGAUAAGUAGUAAGCUGACCUAAGGGCAGAAAUCUAUCCAUAGUUAUUUGCUUCCUGUUCAUCUGCAGUCUUCAGACCUAUAGUUAUACUAAUGCCAUUAAUAGAAAUAAUAUACAUAUAACUAAUUGCUAGCAUUAUUAAAUGGUGUGUACCUGAAUAUAUUGAUUUAAAUGUUCCAAAUCUUAUAGGCCCUGCUCGAAAUCUUCCUGUCCCAUUAAGGACGUUGUAUGCCUUUUUGUGUCUGUCAAAGAGCAAGCGUCACAAAAUUUCACCACUUCCAAGUGAGACGAAAGCUUAGCACACUUCUAAGAGACACUUCUCACCCUGAAAUUGUAUCUGGAACUUCUUAUCCCAUGAAUGAAAAGAGGUGGCUCUCCCACGCUCUGGUGAUUCUGCUUCACACGGAAGAAGCUGCGCAGGUCUGUAAGCAGAAAGGCUGAUAAACAGAAGGGCUGGCUUUGUCAGUGAGAUAGGUCAGGAGAGGGCGCCAUAUUCAGAGCUAGGUAUUCAAGCCACAAGAGCUGAAGCCAGCAGCUCUUGAAGGCUGGUGUAUAAGUACCUUCCUUUGCUCCUUGGGUCCCCUAAUUCUGGGGCACGUAUUUUACACCACUUCCCAGGGCUUGCCCUGGGGCUAAGCUUUAGUUGCCUGCCCUGGGAGGCUGGCUUGAUAUCACACCUUCUCUGGCCUACCUCCUUUUCUUUGUCUCACCACACACGCCCACCCUGUGUCUCUGCCCCUCUCAAAUAGCUGACUCGCAUGCAAAUCCUUGACUCACCAUCUGCCCGGGGCAACCUAGACUGUGGCAGAUCCCUCGGAGAAUUUUAGAAAGAAAAUGGUGGGUUGUGCAUGGAAACACUUACCCUGGCUGCUGUUUGAAGAAAGGGCUAUAGAGAGGGCCAGUGUGGAAGAGAGAGACUAGUUAGGAGGCCGUUCUUUGUUCUGAGUGAGAGACGAUGGUGUCCCAGGCCAGGAUUCGAGCAAUGGAGAUCAACUUGUUAAGUGUUUUGGAUGUGGGAGUGGUAGGACGUGCCAAUGGACUGGUGAGGAAGGGUCAGAAAAGAGAGCACCGCAGGGCAAUAGAGCACUCACUGCUCUUGCCCAUCCUAUGAAUGUUCUCCCUUUCUUCCGUGUAUUAGGGCCCUGAUUUGUGUGGGCUAGUAAUCAAUGUGCCCAGCUAAAAAAGCUGUAUUUCCCAGUCUCCCUUGCAGCUGAGGUGGAGCUUGUAACACAGUUCUGGACAAUGGGACUCAAGCAGAAGUCUCCUGGGAAUUUUGCUAUUUCCAUACAGGUUCUAUACCUUCACCUUGUUAAUUCGUUCCUUGUCUUUCCGUUGGAAUGUAGAUGUGAGGCUGGAAGUGAGGCUGCCAGCUUGCAACCAUGAGGAUAGUGAAGAAAAAGAUAGAAGGAGUUGGGACAUUGUGGUCAUUGAGGAGGCACGGCACAGCCCUGGUCUGCCUGUCUCUGGUCCUCCUAUUGUGUGAAAAAAGAAUGACUCUUCUCUGGUUAAGCCGAAUUCUGUACAUGGAGCCAAACAUAGUCUCUAAUGUUUAGAUUUUUGGUCAAGCAAAUGAUGCGAUUUACUAAAUGGGAAAGACUGAGAGAGGAACAGCUUUAGUGUGGGGACAUUGGGGAGAAUAGCUCCAUUUAUUUAUUUAUUUUUAUUUUAUUUUACUUAUUUUAUUUUUUUCAAUAUAUGAAAUUUAUUGUCAAAUUGGUUUCCAUACAACACCCAGUGCUCAUCCCAAAAGGUGCCCUCCUCAAUACCCAUCACCCACCCUCCCCUCCCUCCCACCCAAAUAGCUCUAUUUAAAAUGCCUACUGGACAUCUAAGUGGAGAUAUUACAUGGGCAGUUGGAUAGAUGAUCCAGUCCAGAGCUCAGGGUAAGGAGUGGAAUUAGAGAUCCACAUUUGGAAGUCAUUAGCAUCUAGACGAUAUUAAGCCAUGGGCCUAGAGAUCACUUAGGAUGAGAAUGUAGGGAGGGAAGAAGAAAUAUCCAACAGUUAGCUGUCAGGAAAAAGAGAAACCAGCAAAUCAUACAGCAGAGGCAUGGCCAGGAAGACAGAAGGAAAACCAAGAGAGUAUGGUGCCUCAGAAGAAUGGAGAAGAAAGUAUUUGAAGAAGGAAAGAGGGCAAAUCCACUGAGAGGAGAAGUUAAGAUGACAGUGGAGAACUAGCCAUUACAUUUGCCAUGGUAGAGAUGAUCGAAGACAUCAAUGACCCUGCAGGAAGAAUGAGACGUUAGGACCCAAAGCAAAGAUGCCGACCCACAAGAAGUGAAAUGUGCAGAUAGUGUCUUUGUCCAGAGAGCCCCAAAGCAACUGGUGUUUGAGUCUCUGAGGACCUUUCACGUUCUGGGUGAGAUUAUUCUAAAGCCUAUGCUCCUCAUCCUGGCUUCCAAAGCCCCUGUGAUGAUCUUGCUCCUUAGUUUCCUCUCUACCCUCCCUUCACAUCAUGUUCCCCUGGGCUCUGGUCAUCUGGCCCCUUUCUGGGGCUGAGGGGACAGUCAGGGAUGCCAAGCUGUGCUCUCCCUCUGCUCAGACCCUUGUGUGGUUGGCUCCUUCUCAUCCUUCUCAUCUCUGUUCAGAUGUCACCUCCUCAGUGAGGCUGUUCUGAUCUCUUCUCCGAAGGACCCUCUACCAAACCCUCUUGGCCCUAUUCCUUGUUUUAUCUUCAUUGCACUUCUAGUAUCAGAAAUUGGUUUAUGUGAUUGAUCAUGAAUUUCUGCUAUGGACUGAACGUCUGUGUGCCCCCCAAAUUCAUAUGUUGAAGCCCUACUUCCCAGUGUGAUGGCAUUGGGAGGUGGGGCCUUUGGGGGGUAGUUAGGUCGUGAAGGUAGAGCUCUCAUGAUGGGAUUUGUGCCCUUAUAAGAAGACACAAGAGAGAAAUGAUCUCUCUCUCUCUCUCUCUGCUGAGGACACAGCAAGAAGGCGUCUGUCCGUAAACCAGAAAGAGGGCUCUCACUAGAACUCAACCAUGCUGCAACCCUAAUCUUGGACUUACAGCUUGCAGA